GAUGAACGCUGGCGGCGUGCCUAAUACAUGCAAGUCGAGCGAACAGACGAGGAGCUUGCUCCUUCGACGUUAGCGGCGGACGGGUGAGUAACACGUAGGUAACCUACCUAUAAGACUGGGAUAACUUCGGGAAACCGGAGCUAAUACCGGAUAAUAUUUCGAACCGCAUGGUUCGAUAGUGAAAGAUGGCUUUGCUAUCACUUAUAGAUGGACCUGCGCCGUAUUAGCUAGUUGGUAAGGUAACGGCUUACCAAGGCAACGAUACGUAGCCGACCUGAGAGGGUGAUCGGCCACACUGGAACUGAGACACGGUCCAGACUCCUACGGGAGGCAGCAGUAGGGAAUCUUCCGCAAUGGGCGAAAGCCUGACGGAGCAACGCCGCGUGAGUGAUGAAGGUCUUCGGAUCGUAAAACUCUGUUAUUAGGGAAGAACAAACGUGUAUGUAACUGUGCACGUCUUGACGGUACCUAAUCAGAAAGCCACGGCUAACUACGUG
rnacentral:rRNA from 1 species